AGUGAACGUUGGCGGUAGGCCUAACACAUGCAAGUCGAACGGCAGCACAGUAAGAGCUUGCUCUUACGGGUGGCGAGUGGCGGACGGGUGAGGAAUACAUCGGAAUCUACUUUUUCGUGGGGGAUAACGUAGGGAAACUUACGCUAAUACCGCAUACGACCUACGGGUGAAAGCAGGGGAUCUUCGGACCUUGCGCGAUUGAAUGAGCCGAUGUCGGAUUAGCUAGUUGGCGGGGUAAAGGCCCACCAAGGCGACGAUCCGUAGCUGGUCUGAGAGGAUGAUCAGCCACACUGGAACUGAGACACGGUCCAGACUCCUACGGGAGGCAGCAGUGGGGAAUAUCGGACAAUGGGCGCAAGCCUGAUCCAGCCAUACCGCGUGGGUGAAGAAGGCCUUCGGGUUGUAAAGCCCUUUUGUUGGGAAAGAAAAGCAGCAGGUUAAUACCCCGCUGUUCUGACGGUACCCAAAGAAUAAACACCGGCUAACUUCGU
rnacentral:rRNA from 1 species